CCUACGGGUGGCAGCAGUGGGGAAUCUUGCGCAAUGGGCGAAAGCCUGACGCAGCGACGCCGCGUGAGGGAUGAAGGUCUUCGGAUCGUAAACCUCUGUCAGCAGGGAAGAACGGUCACUGUGCUAAUCAGCAGUGAAUUGACGGUACCUGCAAAGGAAGCACCGGCUAACUCCGUGCCAGCAGCCGCGGUAAUACGGAGGGUGCGAGCGUUAAUCGGAAUUACUGGGCGUAAAGCGCUCGUAGGCGGGAUGUCAAGUCAAGGGGGAAAUCCCCGCGCUCAACGUGGGAACUGACUUUGAAACUGGCAGACUGGAGUGUGUGAGAGGAUAGUGGAAUUCCAGGUGGAGGAGUGAAAUCCGUAGAUAUCUGGAGGAACAUCAGUGGCGAAGGCGACUAUCUGGCACAUAACUGACGCUGAGGAGCGAAAGCGUGGGUAGCAAACAGGAUUAGAUACCCCGGUAGUC
rnacentral:rRNA from 1 species